CUUCUUCCAGGAAAAAUGCCAGUCCAGGAGGGAAGCAAGGGCAGUGACCUUGCCACGUCCUCCCAUGGCACUGAGUGCCUGGUCACUCCUGCUGGCCUCCUCUAACAGAAAUGGGCUUAACCCUGAGCAGGAGCUUCCUAGUCAGCACCUCCCCAUUUGUGCCAGGGCAGGAGCAUGCUAUCUGAGGAGAGAACAGAACUCUCUUGCACCGAAGGGGUGGCUUCUCCAGGCUCCAGUCCCUGAGAAGGAUGAAGAAGUCUUGCUUUGGGAAAGUGACCCCGGCCACUCAGGAAGUCAAGGCUGAUGAUCUCAGGGAAUACCAGAAGGGAAGGGAGAACAAGGGCCUGGGUCCCCAAAGCCUCUAAGAGGAAUGACUGCCUGCCUUCAGAGACCCUGCCUGAGGCUGAAGGAAGACCACGGAUGCAUCCAGUUCCCAGGGGCUGAGUCUUAAGAUCAUACAUAAAGCAGUCACGUCGCUUUCAAGUUCCCAUCUGACUGGCAGCUGGAGGCCCUGGCGACCACACAGCUGGACAGAUGUUAGGAAUCUGGGCCGAGAUGCAUGAGCUAUACUGCUGGAACAGAUUCCCUAGGGCGGUGGUCUGGGAGACAAGCAGGCAAACCUCUUUUGGGACUCCAUCCGCCUCUCCCCAGCCCCUGGUGCCUAGCCCUGCAACCAGGCUGCGUUUACCUUCUCCCCAUAAAGAUUGUGGAAUUGACCACUGUUGGACAGCAGAUUCCUAGGAAUGAGCAGCCACCACAGGAGAAAAACCUGCCUCCUUCCGGGGAAGUUAACAGGAAGAAGAAGAGGGGGUGGGGCCAAGAUGACCUAGUGGAAGCAGCAGGUUUGGAGGCUCCCAUCCAGCUGCAAGAGUGAAACUCCACCUCAGUAAUAAUAAUAAUGAUAAAUAAUGAAAAAAACCAUAAUAAGCCUGUGAAUCCUUCACCAGCAACCAAGAUAUCCAGAUUUUCUCACCAAAACUGACUAGAAGGCUGUUGUGACCCAUGGAGAGAAGGAAGGACAGUGUGUUAUGGCUGCCCACCUGAGAGCCACACAAGGAAGGGAACUCCCUCUCCCCAGCUAAGGGAGGCAGUGAAUGAGUGUGCUACCCAGCUGGGGAAACUGCUUUUUCUAUGGAACUGUGCAACCCACAGAUCAGAAGAUCCCACCUGUGAACCCAUGCCACUGGGGCCUAGUGUCUCGACCCCAGAACACACAGAUUCUUACUGCCUCUCAGCUGGAAUCUGCUUAAGCCUACCAAACUGCCUGGGGAAGGGGCGACCAGCAUCCACUGCUGGCUGCUUGCUGUCUAAGCCCUUUGAGCUCCUUAGGGGAGGCGCAACAGCCAGCACUAGCACUCGCAACUGCCUAACACGCUGAGAUCCCUGGGCCAGGGAAGGACAUUAGCCAUUGCUAUAGCUCUAGGGUGCUCUUUUCUCCUGCUGGAGCCAGGAAGGCUGGAGAGCUUGGUCCCAAGACUUGUCCCCAGCGUGUAGGGGCACACUGGCUGCAGACUGCCA
rnacentral:lncRNA from 13 species